CCUACGGGUGGCAGCAGUGAGGAAUAUUGGUCAAUGGGCGCAAGCCUGAACCAGCCAAGUCGCGUGAGGGAUGACGGUCCUAUGGAUUGUAAACCUCUUUUGUCGGGGAGCAAGGCCCGCCACGUGUGGCGGGAAGGAGAGUACCCGCAGAAAAAGCAUCGGCUAACCCCGUGCCAGCAGCCUCGGUAAUACGGAGGAUGCGGGCUUUACCCGGAUUUAUUGGGUUUAAAGGGUGCGUAGGCGGAAGGGUAGUUCAGCGGUCACAUGUGGGUGCUCAACACCGUCGUGCCGUUGAAACUGGUCUGCUUGAGUGAGCGAGAAGUAUGCGGAAUGCGUGGUGUAGCGGUGAAAUGCAUAGAUAUCACGCAGAACUCCGAUUGCGAAGGCAGCAUACCGGCGCUCAACUGACGCUGAGGCACGAAAGCGUGGGGAUCGAACAGGAUUAGAUACCCUUGUAGUC
rnacentral:rRNA from 1 species